AUUAUGUCUUAUGGUGUUACAAGGCAUCGACAUGUUCCAGAGAUUGAACAGGGACUGUCCCAUGCUGCACAUUCAAAAGUAACCGUCAGUUUUACACCACACUUGAUGCCAAUGAGCCGUGGGAUGCAGUCGACUAUAUAUGUGGAAAUGGCUCCAGGAGUUACAGCUGAGGAUUUGUACCAGCAAUUGAAGGUUUCAUAUGAGGAUGAAGAAUUUGUUAAGUUAUUGGAG
rnacentral:misc_RNA from 1 species